AAGAUUGCGUCAGGAGCAUUCUAUGGUGCCUUUGCAACUGCGCUGACCAACCCUGUGGAAGUUCUGAAGGUGCGGUUGCAGAUGAAUCCAAACUUGAGAAGAGGAGCAAUAGGGGAAAUGAGAAAAAUUGCUUCAGAAGAGGGAAUAACGGCUCUCUGGAAGGGGGUUGGCCCUACUAUGGCCAGGGCUGCUUCUUUGACUGCAUCACAGCUUGCAACAUAUGAUGAAUCCAAGCGGGUCAAGUUCUAAGCAUGCUAUUUUUCACUUUGAAUAUCCACGACGUUUUGAUAAGGUGGACUCCUCUUGAAGAAGGAUUUUAUCUACAUCUCAUGUAUGGCUUCUAGCUGUUCCACUUCUCCUUAUUAUCUAUUGAGUACUGC